rnacentral:rRNA from 1 species
CUUAGUGGCGGACGGGUGAGUAACGCGUGGGUAACCUGCCUUAUACAGGGGGAUAACACUUAGAAAUAGGUGCUAAUACCGCAUAAGCGCACGGGGCUGCAUGGCCCAGUGUGAAAAACUCCGGUGGUAUACGAUGGAUCCGCGUCUGAUUAGCCAGUUGGUGGGGUAACGGCCCACCAAAGCGACGAUCAGUAGCCGGCCUGAGAGGGUGAACGGCCACAUUGGGACUGAGACACGGCCCAAACUCCUACGGGAGGCAGCAG